CNGGCGGCAAGCUUAACACAUGCAAGUCGAACGGAUUAUUCUUUAUAGCUUGCUAUAAAGAAUAAUUAGUGGCAGACGGGUGAGUAAUGCAUAGGAAUCUACCUAGUAGUAUGGGAUAGCCACUAGAAAUGGUGGGUAAUACUGUAUAAUCCCUGCGGGGGAAAGAUUUAUCGCUAUUAGAUGAGCCUAUGUUAGAUUAGCUAGUUGGUAGGGUAAAGGCCUACCAAGGCGAUGAUCUAUAGCUGGUCUGAGAGGAUGAUCAGCCACACUGGAACUGAGAUACGGUCCAGACUCCUACGGGAGGCAGCAGUGGGGAAUAUUGGACAAUGGGCGCAAGCCUGAUCCAGCUAUGCCGCGUGAGUGAGGAAGGCCUUAGGGUUGUAAAACUCUUUCAGUAGGGAAGAUAAUGACGGUACCUACAGAAGAAGUCCCGGCAAACUCCGUGCCAGCAGCCGCGGUAAUACGGAGGGGGCAAGCGUUGUUCGGAAUUAUUGGGCGUAAAGGGCAUGUAGGCGGUUCGGUAAGUUAAAGGUGAAAUGCCAGGGCUUAACCCUGGAGCUGCUUUUAAUAC
rnacentral:rRNA from 1 species